UACAUUUUAGUGUAUGGUGCACAAGAAUUUUUGAUAUUCUAGGGGAUAGUUUAAUUCUAUUAAAUGUAG
rnacentral:tRNA from 1 species